CAGCCGGUCCUUCAUCCCUCGGAGCACCUACUGCGUACCCGUCCUGCCCAGGGAAUGGCGAUGCCCUCCAGGAUGGGCCUGCCCAGAGCAGAGGGAUUUUGUUGUCACGGCUGUAUCCUCGUGGCCACGGCAGCCUCCAGCAAACAGUGGGUGCUCAAUAAAUAUUUGUCAAGUGCGCGAUCGAUGAACAAAUUAAAUCAACAGUGACAACCCAGGGGGCCAAGGCAGUGGAGACUCCUAGGAUGUCAGGCUGGGCUUGUCCCAGUGUCUCCAGCCUGGAGAACAGCAUCUGGCAUGGGCAGAACCACAGCAAGGAUGGGUCCUGUGAGCGGAUCAAAGAGUGCAGGCCCGAGCAUCGGGGUGUCCCUGUGCAAAAAAGCUUUGCAGAAAGUAAACGCCUGACACAUUCAACAGAAUUAAAAGCAAGAACUUGUGGGGCCGCUGGGUGGCUCAGGCUCGGGGCAUGAUCCCGGAGUCCCAGGAUCGAGUCCCACAUCGGGCUCCCAGCAUGGAGCCUGCUUCUCCCUCUGCCUGUGUCUCUGCCUCUCUCUCUGUGUCU